UUAGAAUGUUGCCCUUUUAAACUCAUUGUGACAAGGAAUUUAUUGCUAAAGACUCCAAAUCAGUCAGUACAUAUGGUACUGAAUGUGUUGUAAUACCUAGGUCUUACCAGAACCCCGGGGUUGCACGGAACACCAUUUGGGAAACACUGCUCUGUGAAAAUAAAAGAUGCCGCCAAAGAAACUGUCAGGAACUCAGCACAGGAAGUGAAAAGCUCAGUUGCAAUCUAGUUUGCAGCAAGAGGCAAAUCUGAUGGGAAAAUAUUUGAAACAGAACAACAUAGACCAUGCUUUAGGCAGUAGCUAUUAUCCCAUGGCAGAAGAAAUUGAGGAGCGAAGCGUAAAUGAUGGAUGUCUAAUUGCUAAGGUAUUUACCUGAAAAUAAGGAAUGGAAAUUUGAAGAAAGUGAUGGAGAAUUGUCCAGUUUUCCUGGAGGUGUAAAGGACGUGGCUCACAUAAAAAGAAGAGUAAUGAAAAAAAAAUCUGGUUUCCAUGAAAAGGGGAGAAACCAUAAAAAAAAAUCAGCUUUGCAUGAUGGCAGAAACAUCAGUGAGAAAAAUUGCACACCUCAGAUCAAUAUAUCAGAUCCUGUUUUAUGGCCAGUGAGCCUAAACUCUGCCAGUAUUGAACACACAAUUUUGAACAAGCUAGGCAAAAAUCCAGGCUACGACAUUUCCACUAACUGAGCAGAAGAAAC